AAAUCAAGAGCGGCAUAGAAAGGCUAACUAGGCUCAUAAGAUGCUUCGGAGAUGAUAGCCCUACACAAAGGAAGAGGACAGAGGACCUCAUUUUCUAAAGGAAGAUCCCUCACACACUUUCAAGACUGUGAAGCCGACAGGUAUUGAAGACACGUUUUCUAAGAGGAUGAAAGUUGGCAUUGCGAUGGUGAAAGAAGAAGACAUCAUCGAUGUGUUGGUUGUCCUUGAGGCAGCAGUAAUCCUGUCUAAUCUGAGGGAUGUCUCAAGAGCCAUUUCCAUGCUGAUGGGCCUUCUUUUUGCCCUCAACAUACACUAUCCAAAGGAACUUAAGG